rnacentral:lncRNA from 1 species
AGAGACUAAGAGCGUUAACUACAUUCAGAGUUUCUCUGGCCUCUGUUUCCUUUUUCUUGCCAGAGUCUGGGUCUGUAGGGCCAGCAAAAGCCACAAAGAGCCAUGAGCAGUUCCUGGGUAGCAAGUUGGAUGGAGCAGCUGAGACCAUCACGAAAGGCCUUUGCCCUGUCAAAGGACCCGAGAUCCUCUUCAGUUAUGCCCAGUGAAAUUUACCAUUUUCCAUCAGCGAAAUCUACCAUUGCCUCAGCCUUGCCUUUGAAAGAAAUGGAAUUGCUGGAUCACAGGUCUCUGGACUCUGAAGGACUGUUGAAAAUAAUCUCAUGUAAUAUCCACUGAAUAAAAGGAAAGACCAAGUUGUUAGGCCAAUUCUGGCUUUUCUUACUAGAUUUUCAAGUGAUUGCUAGACAGUUGAGGGCAGGAAAG